UACGAAGGGGCUAGCGUUGCUCGGAAUCACUUGGGCGUAAAGGGUGCGUAGGCGGGUCUUUAAGUCAGGGGUGAAAUCCUGGAGCUCAACUCCAGAACUGCCUUUGAUACUGAAGAUCUUGAGUUCGGGAGAGGUGAGUGGAACUGCGAGUGUAGAGGUGAAAUUCGAUAGAUAUUCGCAAGAACACCAGUGGCGAAGGCGGCUCACUGGCCCGAUACUGACGCUGAGGCACGAAAGCGUGGGG
rnacentral:rRNA from 1 species